AGAGUUUGAUCCUGGCUCAGGAUGAACGCUAGCGGGAGGCCUAACACAUGCAAGCCGAGGGGUAUUUUGGAGCUUGCUUCAAGAGAGACCGGCGUACGGGUGCGUAACGCGUAUGCAACUUACCUGUAUCACCGGGAUAGCCCGGGGAAACCCGGAUUAAUACCGGAUAACAUAUCAGUCAGCAUUGGCAGAUAUUAAAAGAUUAAUCGGAUACAGAUAGGCAUGCGUAGGAUUAGUUAGUUGGUAAGGUAACGGCUUACCAAGACGAUGAUCCUUAGGGGGCCUGAGAGGGUGAACCCCCACACUGGAACUGAGACACGGACCAGACUCCUACGGGAGGCAGCAGUGAGGAAUAUUGGACAAUGGGUGAGAGCCUGAUCCAGCCAUCCCGCGUGAAGGACGACAGCCCUAUGGGUUUUAAACUUCUUUUGUAUGGGAAUAAACCACAUUACGUGUAAUGUUCUGAAGGUACCAUACGAAUAAGCAUCGGCUAACUCCGUGCCAGCAGCCGCGGUAAUACGGAGGAUGCGAGCGUUAUCCGGAUUUAUUGGGUUUAAAGGGUCCGUAGGCGGGUUAAUAAGUCAGCGGUGAAAACCUGCAGCUUAACUGUAGAACUGCCGUUGAUACUGUUAAUCUUGAAUAGUAUUGAAGUAGCUGGAAUGUGUAGUGUAGCGGUGAAAUGCAUAGAUAUUACACAGAACCCCGAUUGCGAAGGCAGGUUACUAAAUACCGAUUGACGCUGAUGGACGAAAGCGUGGGGAGCGAACAGGAUUAGAUACCCUGGUAGUCCACGCCGUAAACGAUGGAUACUCGUUGUUGGGGAUUACCCCUCAGUGACUAAGCGAAAGUAAUAAGUAUCCCACCUGGGGAGUACGACCGCAAGGUUGAAACUCAAAUGAAUUGACGG
rnacentral:rRNA from 1 species